rnacentral:pre_miRNA from 11 species
GAUUGGGAUCAUCUAUUAUCCCGUGCGGUCGGUAUAACAGGACCGCACGGGAUAAUAGAUUAUCCCGUGCGAUC